rnacentral:rRNA from 1 species
AAGCCUCUAAGCAUAUCCAUAGUCGUCCGUACCGCAAACCGACACAGGUAGAUGAGAUGAGUAUUCUAAGGCGCGUGAAAGAACUCUGGUUAAGGAACUCUGCAAACUAGCACCGUAAGUUCGCGAUAAGGUGUGCCGCAGCAAUGCGGUCUCAGCAAAGAGUCCCUCCCGACUGUUUACCAAAAACACAGCACUUUGCCAACUCGUAAGAGGAAGUAUAAGGUGUGACGCCUGCCCGGUGCUCGAAGGUUAAGAGGAUGCGUCAGUCGCAAGAUGAAGCGUUGAAUUGAAGCCCGAGUAAACGGCGGCCGUAACUAUAACGGUCCUAAGGUAGCGAAAUUCCUUGUCGGUUAAAUACCGACCUGCAUGAAUGGCGUAACGAGAUGGGAGCUGUCUCAACCAGAGAUUCAGUGAAAUUGUAGUGGAGGUGAAAAUUCCUCCUACCCGCGGCAAGACGGAAAGACCCCGUGGACCUUUACUACAACUUAGCACUGCUAAUGGGAAUAUCAUGCGCAG